GCUUCUCAAACAGGCUCCGGAUAUCCUCGCAAGUGCAGGUCCACGGCACAUUCUGCGCAAUCAGCCUCCGCCUCGGCUCCGCCGGUGCCUCUUCCGACUCUCUCUCCUCUACUACCACAGCUUCUGCUUCUGCUGUUGUUGUGCUGCAUCUUAGAGGGGUGAUCAGAGAGGGAGCCAGAUUGAAACGAAUGGUUGCAGUUGCCCCCCAUUUUUUUAGGUGGGUGGUGGAGGG
rnacentral:misc_RNA from 1 species